UGUGUUCAACGUGUGAGCAAGGAAACGUGAUGGACAAUGAACAUGAUGAAGUUUAUGACAAACCCAGACGAAAAUUUAUCAUGUUUCGUGUGAAUAUUUCAGCAAAAAUAUUAUGCUUUAAGUUGUAAAAGCCGUUUCCAAGGAACCAUCAGAUCAUCAGUACACUACCAUGACUCAGAGGGCCAAUGAUAGUAAACACUGCAGUAAGUCCACCAGGGAUUGAUGGCAAAAAAAGAGAAUAUUUUGAAGAAUGAUUUGGAUAUGCUGGCCUCCUCUUUUGACCUAAAUCCAGCUGAUGAAAUUCUAUCUGAAAAAAUAGUGAGAAGCCAAGAACUAAUAAUCAACUUCUGUAAAUCAGACAGUGGUGUUAAAACCUGUGUGAUGAAGUGUGCCAAAUUCAUUGAUCACAUACUUGUACAUUUUUAAGUUAUCUCCCAUGUAGAUCUAAAAAGUAAUGUACAGAGUUUAAAGUGGACUUCAAGUGCUUUAUGUAUUGUACAUGAUUACAUUGAGAUGUAUGAAAAUUGAAAUGCAUGCCUGCUCUUUUGUACAGUCUUAAAACUGUUCAUAUGAUUGUCCACAUAAUUGAUUUUGUCAAAUAAAUGAACACAUAUAUUUUA